rnacentral:hammerhead_ribozyme from 1 species
AUCCACAUGAUAAGUCCCGAAUAGGACGAAAUGCGCGUCCUAGAU